CCUACGACCAGCGCGGGCAGCGAACAAAGCCCGGAGACUGCGGCGCCGAGCUGAGGCGGGGGCCUCAGCUGGGUGGGUGGCAGGCCGCCUUGGGGGAGGGGAAGGUGGGGCGCCAGGCGCCCUUCCCCCGGCCCCCCAAACUGUCCUCCCACCAGGAAAUGCAGCUGAAAUCAGGUUAAUGUAUAAUCUAGGGACGACGUGCCGGGACUUCCAAGGGACUCGCCGGGAGCGGCAGGGUUCUCUGGAUAGGAGAGGCUACCGGAGCUGGACCUCUCUUUCCCCUUGUUUCGGCCCCACAGCAGGAUUGCUCAGAGCUCCCGCGGCCUUAGGGCCCCGCCAUAGGCUCUAAGGUGGACUAGAGGGACUACGCCCCCUGCCGGUGGCCGGUCUGCGGUGACUGGCCUGAAUUGCGCUCAGACCCGCCUACCAGCCCUCUAGCUUGGUAGGACGGUGGGAUGCUUCUUAUCGACCUAUGGCUACCUUCUCUUGUCUUGCUGCGGAACCUACCACAGCUCCUCCUCCUUCCCCUCCCCCUCUGUGGACCGGCGCUUAUCCAGCUUCGCCUGGCUAGGUACAGGGUACAAACUGAGGCCCAGGAGAGCUAAGCUAGCUCCGGAUCUACAGAAGGUUGAAAGAAAAACAGAAGACAGCUCUGUCUUCACAAUACUGGGAUUGCUGUGCCUGGGCCACAGGCCUUUGAACCAGAAGCUAGAAUAAAGUGUGUGUGGCAGAAGCGUUUCCUCCUGAAAAAGGUACUACCACCAGGACCCUGACAGGCUUCAGGGAAGGGGGUGGUCAGUGAAGGUUUGGUAUCACGUCUAUACAGUGGACACCAACACCCUAGAUCUGGAGUCACCUGACCCAGGUAUGCACAAACACACCAACCAAAAGUGGGGGCUUCUGAGUCUCCACUCAAAUUCUCUUUAAAAGUCUGAAGGUUGAGCCGGUCGGUAGUUGCCCACGUCUUUAAUCCCAGCACUCAGGAGGCAGAGGCAGGUGGAUCUACUGAGUGAGUUCCAGGACAGCCUCCAAAGCUACACAGACUUGGCAACAUAAGGCCUUGUCACAAUGGAUGGACUUGGGUUCUUUCACCUGACCUCAGCAGGAAUGUAGAAGAGAAGGCAACUGAUGGACAUUUCUGAAGGACAAGCACAGGAGGCAGAACUUCUCAUUGGAUCACCUUUUAUUACCAACAUAGGCUAUGGAUAGAGGCCUCAGGCAUAGCAUACCCUCCUUACCCCCCCACCCCGAAGGCGCAAAUUCAUGAACACUAUGCACUGGGGCUUUAGGUCAUACUCCCCCAGUGGCUGUUGGUCCUCCAUGGGCCUUCCCUCAAAGCUCAGCCAGAAUUGGUCCUCCUGUAUGUGCUCCUUCUGGGACACCUGCCUCUUAAGCUCUGCUACGGUCUGUGUCAGCCGGACCUCAUAGAUACUGCUUCGGCCCCGAUCAUUCCGAACCAGGAUGCUCAAAGGGUUGUUGCAAUUCUGUACAAUCAACAUGACAAUGCUGUCAGGGCCCAGGCCCUGGCUGAUGAGGGCAAUGUUCUCUUGUAGCAUGUUGCCACUUUCAUGGGCCAAGCGUUGCUGGAAAGCUGGAACACCAGUCUUGUGGAAAAUCUGCCUCUUCAGUCCCGAUAACGUCAUGGAGUUAGUCAGGGGCACCAGGAACUCGUCACCCCCCAGCAUCUUCACCUUCAGGUUCCAGGUCUGCAGGCAUCACAUGGGUUUAGCAAUGAUUCUCAACCUUCCUAAUGCUGCUACUCUUUAAUACAGUUCCUCAUGUUGUGGUGACCCCCAACCAUAAAAUUAUUUUCAUUGCUACUUCAUAA